GGGGGCGACUUGGUAUCGACGGAGAUACUGAACCCUGUGGGGCAUGUCGGGUUGUUGGUCCCGUAAAAAGCUGGCACUUGCAUAUAAUUGCAAACGACGACGUAGAACUAGCUUACGCUGCGUAAGUUACCCCG
rnacentral:tmRNA from 1 species